UGGGGCGGUAUGGGGGGUGACGCGGGGAUGAGGGGUGGUUAUGGGGUCGGUUCCGUACCGGGUUCGGUUCGGGGUUCGGUCGGGGUUCGGUUCUGGUUCCGGUUCCGGGUUGGGUUCCGGUUCCGGGUUCGGUUUCGGUUGGUUUCCGGUUCCGUUCCGGGUUCGGUUUCGGGUUGGGUUCCGGUGCGGUUGGCGGUUGGGUUCCGCUUCCGGGUUGGGCUGGUGGUUCCGGUUCCGGGUUGGAUUCCAGUUGGUCGUUGUGUUCUGGUUGGGGGUUGGUUCCGGUUCCGGUUGGGGGUUGGGUUCCGGUUGGGGGUUGGGUUGGUGGUUCCGGUUCUGGGUUGGUGGAUCCGGGUUGGGGUUGUGUUCCGGUUCAGGGUUGGGUUGGUGCUUCCGGUUCCGGUUGGGGGGGGUUGUGUUCCGGUUCCGGGUUGGGGGUUGUGUUCCGGUUCAGGGUUGGGUUGGUGCUUCCGGUUCCGUUGGGGGUUGUGUUCCGGUUCCGGUUCGCGGUUUCCUCCCCCCCCCCCCCCCGCAGUUCUCGGCCGGUGGUGUCGCUGUGGGUUCGGCUGUCGCUGUCGGUUGAGCGCCUCCCGCGGUUCCGCGACCGCUGCGGGGGAAACGGCGGCGCUGUGGGGCUGCAGCUCUGCUUCCAACCGCGCCUCCGCAGCCCCACCUACACCGGUACUGCCCCAUAGCUGCCCCAUAGCGGCCCCACAGCUGCCCCAUAGAUACCCCAUAGCGGCCCCAUAGCUGCAGCUCUGCUUCCAACCGCGCCUCCGCAGCCACGCCUACACCGGUACUGCCCCAUAGCUGCCCCAUAGCUGCCCCAUAGGAACCCCAUAGAUACCCCAUAGAUACCCCAUAGCUGCCCCAUAGCUGCAGCUCUGCUUCCAACUGCGCCUCCGCAGCCACGCAUACACCGGUACUGCCCCAUAGCUGCCCCAUAGGGACCCCAUAGGAACCCCAUAGGUACCCCAUAGCUGCCCCAUAGCUGCAGCUCUGCUUCCAACCGCGCCUCCGCAGCCACGCAUACACCGGUACUGCCCCAUAGCUGCCCCAUAGCGGCCCCACAGCUGCCCCAUAGAUACCCCAUAGCUGCAGCUCUGCUUCCAACCGCGCCUCCGCAGCCACGCAUACACCGGUACUGCCCCAUAGCUGCCCCAUAGCUGCCCCACAGCUGCCCCAUAGGGACCCCAUAGAUACCCCAUAGCUGCCCCAUAGAUACCCCAUAGCUGCCCCAUACGGGCCCCAUAGCUGCCCCAUAGAUACCCCAUAGCUGCCCCAUAGCUGCAGCUCUGCUUCCAACCGCACCUCCGCAGCCACGCCUACACCGGUACUGCCCCAUAGCUGCCCCAUAGCGGCCCCAUAUCUGCCCCAUAGACACCCAUAGCUGCCCCAUAGCUGCAGCUCUGCUUCCAACCGCGCCUCCGCAGCCACGCCUACACCGGUACUGCCCCA
rnacentral:lncRNA from 1 species